AAACUCCGUGAUAGCUGGUUCUCCCCGAAAUGCAUUUAGGUGCAGCGUUGCGUGGUUCUUUGCGGAGGUAGAGCGACUGGAUGGCUGAUGGGCCCCACCGGGUUACUGAGGUCAGCCAAACUCCGAAUGCCGCAAAGUGUGAGCGUGGCAGUGAGACGGCGGGGGAUAAGCUUCGUCGUCGAGAGGGAAACAGCCCGGAUCGUCGGUUAAGGCCCCUAAGGGUGUGCUAAGUGGGAAAGGAUGUGUCGUUGCUGUGACAGCCAGGAGGUUGGCUUAGAAGCAGCCAUCCUUGAAAGAGUGCGUAAUAGCUCACUGGUCAAGUGGUCGUGCGCCGACAAUUCAGCGGGGCUCAAGCGCGCCGCCGAAGCCGCGGAUCCGCCGCUAUUGGCCUGUCGCCCCCCUUGGGGGGUGGUGGGUGCGGCGGGUGGUAGGGGAGCGUCCCGCGUGGGGGGAAGCUUCCGGGUGACCGGGGGUGGACCGCGUGGGAGUGAGAAUGCAGGCAUGAGUAGCGAUACCGGGGUGGGAAGCCCCGGCGCCGUAUGACCAAGGGUUCCAGGGCCAGGCUAGUCCGCCCUGGGUGAGUCGGGACCUAAGGCGAGGCCGACGGGCGUAGUCGAUGGAUGACGGGUUGAUAUUCCCGUACCGGACCGGAUACCGACCGUGCCGACGCGCGGGUGCUGACCCACGCCCCGCGCCGCCCGUGUACGCCCCCGCGUCCCGGUCUUCGGGCCGGGCGGGGGCGGGGCGGCGGGGGUCUGGGGACCCUCCGCGCAGGUAGGCAAGCGUAUUAACAGGGGUGACGCGCAGUGGUGGCCCCGCGGGUCUGAUGGCUCGGCCCGUUCAAGCGCGCGGCCCGCCGCCCAGGCAAAUCCGGGCGGCUGCCUUCGAUGGCGGGGGUGAGGCGCGAUGGUGACCCGGCCCGGUGGGGCCGGGGAAGUAGGGUGAUCCUGUGGCGCCGAGAAAAGCCUCGACGCGAGGGGCCGGUCCGCCCGUACCCCAAACCGACACAGGUGGUCGGGCAGAGUAUGCCCAGGCGCACGAGCGAACCGUGGUGAAGGAACUCGGCAAAACGCCCCCGUAACUUCGGGAGAAGGGGGGCCCGAACCCUGAAACGGCUGGCCCGUUGGGGGUGAGGGUCGCAGAGGCCAGGGGGGAGCGACUGUUUACUAAAAACACAGGUCCGUGCGAAGCCGCAAGGCGAUGUAUACGGACUGACGCCUGCCCGGUGCUGGAAGGUUAAGAGGAGCCCUCAACCACGGAUCAGUGGUGAAGGGGUGAGUUUAAGCCCCAGUAAACGGCGGUGGUAACUAUAACCAUCCUAAGGUAGCGAAAUUCCUUGUCGGGUAAGUUCCGACCUGCACGAAUGGCGUAACGACUUCUCCGCUGUCUCGACCACGAACUCGGUGAAAUUGCAGUACGAGUAAAGAUGCUCGUUUCGCGCAGCAGGACGGAAAGACCCCGGGACCUUUACUGCAGCUUGGUAUGGGUGUUCGGCGCGGUUUGUGUAGGAUAGGUGGGAGACGGUGAUCCGCUCGCGCUAGCGGGCGGGGAGUCGCUGGUGAAAUACCACUCUGGCCGUGUUGGGCUCCUAACCUCGGCCCGUGAUCCGGGUCAGGGACAGUGCCUGGUGGGUAGUUUAACUGGGGCGGUUGCCUCCUAAAGGGUAACGGAGGCGCUCAAAGGUCCCCUCAGCCUGGUCGGCAACCAGGUGGCGAGUGCAAGUGCACAAGGGGGCUUGACUGCGAGACCGACGGGUCGGGCAGGUGCGAAAGCAGGAACUAGUGAUCCGGCGAUCCCGCGUGGGCGGGUCGUCGCUCAACGGAUAAAAGGUACCCCGGGGAUAACAGGCUGAUCCUGCCCAAGAGUCCAUAUCGACGGCAUGGUUUGGCACCUCGAUGUCGGCUCGUCGCAUCCUGGGGCUGGAGUAGGUCCCAAGGGUUGGGCUGUUCGCCCAUUAAAGCGGUACGCGAGCUGGGUUCAGAACGUCGUGAGACAGUUCGGUCCCUAUCCGCUGCGCGCGCAGGAGAAUUGAGAAGGGCUGUCCCCAGUACGAGAGGACCGGGACGGACGAACCUCUGGUGUGCCAGUUGUUCCGCCAGGAGCACGGCUGGUUGGCUACGUUCGGGAGGGAUAACCGCUGAAAGCAUCUAAGCGGGAAGCCCGCUUCAAGACGAGUUCUCCACCACCCUCGCGGUGGGAAGGCCCCCCGAAGACGACGGGGUUGAUAGACCGGACGUGGACGCCCCGCAAGGGAGUGAAGCCGACCGGCACUAAUGGGCCGACCAACCCAA
rnacentral:rRNA from 1 species